rnacentral:rRNA from 1 species
AGUGAACGCUGGCGGCGUGCUUAACACAUGCAAGUCGAACGAGAACGGAUUAUAGCUUGCUAUAAUUGUCAGCUAAGUGGCGCACGGGUGAGUAAUGUAUAGAUAACCUGCCCUCUAGAAAGGAAUAACAGUUGGAAACGACUGCUAAUGCCCUAUAUGCCUUUAAUACAUAAGUAUGCAAGGGAAACGCUUUAGUGCUAGAGGAUGGGUCUGUACGUUAUCAGCUAGUUGGUGAAGUAAUGGCUCACCAAGGCUAUGACGCCUAACUGGUUUGAGAGGAUGAUCAGUCACACUGGAAAUGAGACACGGUCCAGACUCCUACGGGAGGCAGCAGUGGGGAAUAUUGCACAAUGGACGAAAGUCUGAUGCAGCAACGCCGCGUGGAGGAUGACACAUUUCGGUGCGUAAACUCCUUUUAUAUAGGAAGAUAAUGACGGUACUAUAUGAAUAAGCACCGGCUAACUCCGUGCCAGCCGCCGCAGUAA